AGCAGUCGCCGCGGUAAUACGGAGGGAGCUAGCGUUGUUCGGAAUCACUGGGCGUAAAGCGCACGUAGGCGGCUAUUCAAGUCAGGGGUGAAAGCCCGGGGCUCAACCCCGGAACUGCCUUUGAAACUAGAUAGCUUGAAUCUUGGAGAGGCGAGUGGAAUUCCGAGUGUAGAGGUGAAAUUCGUAGAUAUUCGGAAGAACACCAGUGGCGAAGGCGACUCGCUGGACAAGUAUUGACGCUGAGGUGCGAAAGCGUGGGGAGCAAACAGGAUUAGAUACCCCAGUAGUCCCUGUCUCUUAUAC
rnacentral:rRNA from 1 species